GAUGAACGCUGGCGGCGUGCCUAAUACAUGCAAGUCGAGCGAAUGGAUUAAGAGCUUGCUCUUAUGAAGUUAGCGGCGGACGGGUGAGUAACACGUGGGUAACCUGCCCAUAAGACUGGGAUAACUCCGGGAAACCGGGGCUAAUACCGGAUAACAUUUUGAACCGAAUGGUUCGAAAUUGAAAGGCGGCUUCCGCUGUCACUUAUGGAUUGACCCGCGUCGCAUUAGCUAGUUGGUGAGGUAACGGCUCACCAAGGCAACGAUGCGUAGCCGACCUGAGAGGGUGAUCGGCCACACUGGGACUGAGACACGGCCCAGACUCCUACGGGAGGCAGCAGUAGGGAAUCUUCCGCAAUGGACGAAAGUCUGACGGAGCAACGCCGCGUGAGUGAUGAAGGCUUUCGGGUCGUAAAACUCUGUUGUUAGGGAAGAACAAGUGCUAGUUGAAUAAGCUGGCACCUUGACGGUACCUAACCAGAAAGCCACGGCUAACUACGUGCCAGCCGCCGCUGUAA
rnacentral:rRNA from 1 species